rnacentral:misc_RNA from 1 species
UGAAUCGAGCAGUUGUCCCGCUCCGAACAACUCGCCUGCGAACUCCGGCCGGAUGAACUGCGCGCCGCUGCCGGUCGUGCCGUGCGUGAUGAGGACGGCGUUGCGCACCGUUCCUUUCUCGUCCUUCCGCGGUUCGCCGAGCGUGCGAUAGUGAAGUCGAAGCUCUGGCAGUGUCUCGCCCGACGCAA